CAUUACUGAGUGAGGGCCUUCGGGCUCGACCUCCAACCCUUUGUGAACACAACUUGUUGCUUCGGGGGCGACCCUGCCGUUUCGACGGCGAGCGCCCCCGGAGGCCUUCAAACACUGCAUCUUUGCGUCGGAGUUUAAGUAAAUUAAACAAAACUUUCAACAACGGAUCUCUUGGUUCUGGCAUCGAUGAAGAACGCAGCGAAAUGCGAUAAGUAAUGUGAAUUGCAGAAUUCAGUGAAUCAUCGAAUCUUUGAACGCACAUUGCGCCCCUUGGUAUUCCGAGGGGCAUGCCUGUUCGAGCGUCAUUUCACCACUCAAGCCUCGCUUGGUAUUGGGCGCCGCGGUGUUCCGCGCGCCUCAAAGUCUCCGGCUGAGCUGUCCGUCUCUAAGCGUUGUGAUUUCAUUAAUCGCUUCGGAGCGCGGGCGGUCGCGGCCGUUAAAUCUUUCACAAGGUUGACCUCGGAUCAGGUAGGGAUACCCGCUGAACUUAAGCAUA
rnacentral:rRNA from 1 species